rnacentral:rRNA from 1 species
AGAGUUUGAUCCUGGCUCAGAUUGAACGCUGGCGGCAUGCUUUACACAUGCAAGUCGAACGGUAACAGGUCCUCGGAUGCUGACGAGUGGCGAACGGGUGAGUAAUACAUCGGAACGUGCCUAGUAGUGGGGGAUAACUACUCGAAAGAGUAGCUAAUACCGCAUGAGAUCUACGGAUGAAAGCAGGGGACCUUCGGGCCUUGUGCUACUAGAGCGGCUGAUGGCAGAUUAGGUAGUUGGUGGGGUAAAGGCUUACCAAGCCUGCGAUCUGUAGCUGGUCUGAGAGGACGACCAGCCACACUGGGACUGAGACACGGCCCAGACUCCUACGGGAGGCAGCAGUGGGGAAUUUUGGACAAUGGGCGAAAGCCUGAUCCAGCAAUGCCGCGUGCAGGAUGAAGGCCCUCGGGUUGUAAACUGCUUUUGUACGGAACGAAAAGCCUGGGGCUAAUAUCCCCGGGUCAUGACGGUACCGUAAGAAUAAGCACCGGCUAACUACGUGCCAGCAGCCGCGGUAAU